CUUCCCUCCCUCACUGCACCAUCCAGCCGUCUCUCGUCUCUCUCUCUCACGGAGAGUUUGCUGCUGUCCUUGUUUCCCUCCCCCUCCCAUCACCAUGUUGGACAUUUUCAUUCUGAUGUUUUUUGCCAUUAUUGGCCUGGUUAUCUUGUCCUACAUCAUAUAUAUGCUGUAGAAUCGCCAGCCCUGCGAUCAGCGAUUGAUGGAUGCCAGCCAAGAAGGGGAACAGCAUAUGUGUAUGUAUGUCUCCCCACCCCCUCCCCGCCCAUUUCAGGCAAGGUUUCAGAUGGGGAUUCUGGCUUCUGGAUUGCAGCAAAACCUGGUAUGAGGCUCCACCCUGGAUGAAAACCAUGUUUACUUUGUGGGCAGCUGGCAUGGCCUCUCUGAGCUAUUCCAGAGCUUUCCUGAAGAAAGGUUAACCUUUGGCAAAAAAAAAAUUAACUGGCAAAGAGAGCAGUCGUUCAGCCCAAGGUCUGAAGAUGCAUCUCGAGGUUCCAGAUUGUUGACUUGGAAAUGCAGCACAACGGAAACAGAAUGGACAAAAUCAGGCAAUGAGAGGAUAUUACGGAAUGACUCUUAAGGAAAGGGGAUAAGAAAAAUCUUGCUCGCCCAAAAGUGUAAAAGUUGCAGGGAUAUGCAGCUAUUGAGUAACAGAAAUAGUAUUUUAUCUCAUUUUAA